rnacentral:lncRNA from 10 species
AGUUUGUGUUCCAAGGUAAGAUAACCUGAAAUGAAAAACUCAGGAUCCCUCACGAACAGCCUGACCCUGCUUUCAACCAGGAAGUUCAAGGGAGGCAGGACUUUACGGUCAAAACUGCAAAGCCGAAGCUCAAGACUGUAAGAAGAAAGUGAUCUUCAAAGAAAAGGAUUCACCCAAAUCGAAGAGGAUAUCGUUUCGCAUCAGGGACACUCGUCUCCACACCUCCUACCUCAAAGUCCUACGCACCUACCCUUCACGUCUCUCCAAAGCAACUGAAUUAAAGCGCCUACUGGCCUUGGCGGCGCAGGUCCCAAGAUUUUGACUGAUUGGUUGUACGACUAGAGUUGCUGGAGUUCAAGUAUUUUCAUUUUAACUAUUCAACUGAAAGCAGUGCGUUACAACAGAACACGGGUUCCAAAGAAUUUACUGAGAAGAAGCAAAGUAAUACUUGGGAGAACUAUAAUACACAGGCAUCUCAUGAAAAUCAUCCAACAUAUAGAAGAAUAUAUAGAAUAAAGCAAAAAUCAUCAGAAACUCCACCGUCUUGGAUGACCAUAGUUGAUAUUCUGAAUGGCUUCUGUUCCGAUUGAACCUUGACUGAUGUAGCACCUAUCACCAAAUUGCUGUUCAGGAAAUAUGUCCUAAAGAAACUCCCAACAGCAGCAAUACAUCAGAGUGGCACCUCUUUACACUGGUUCUUGAGAAGAUGUCAGAGUGA